UGUACCAGUCUCCUGACCCCAGCCAUCUCUACACUGAGCAGCAUCCACUGUCUCUACCUCUCGGGGUUCUCAGUUAAUGCUUGUAACUGGGUUGUCCUAACAUUGACAGGACUCAGAUGUCAUUCGCUGCCAACUGAGUGCCUUGCGUGAACAGACACGGCUCCUCUCAUUUCACCGACGAUCCGCAGGGAAGAUAACGGCCUUCUCAUUUACGGUCACACAAUGUCGUCCAGGAGGAUCGCAUCCCCUGCUCUCCAGUACUUUCUUACAAAAGCUAUUUGAAACAACGAAGAAGCUAAGUUGUCUCUGAAGAUGUCAAGUUUUGGAAGAAUAUUUUGAGAACGAUAGGAGAAUAGUGGAUACAUUUGCUGCUGUCGUAUUGAUUUGUAAAAAGAAGUUCCAUGGAGUUCCAUAGGACCUUACAAGGCGCACACUCUCAGGAGGUUAAUUGAAUGAAUUAAUAAUAAAAAUCUCAGAUGAUCCAAUGAA